rnacentral:misc_RNA from 1 species
CGGGACCGGAGUUGCCGGCGGAGCAGGAGACGACGACGCCGUGGCGGACGGCGCCGAAGGCGCCGAUGGCAAUUGAAUCACGGUAGAAGCUGGGGGCGUAUCCGUUGGCGCCGACGGAGAGGGAGAUGACGUCGACGCCAUCGGAGAUUGCAGCGUCCAUAGCUGCGAGGAUGUCGGAGUCGAAGCAGCCGGAGGCCCAGCAGAUCUUGUAGGCGGCGAUGCGGGCUUUGGCGGCCAUGCCGCGGGCCUCGCCGGUUGCGUAGGUGAAUAAGCCGGCGUUAGGGACGACUGCGCCGGCCGCGGUGGAGGAGGUGUGGGUGCCAUGGCCCUCGGUGUCUAGAGGGGAUUUUGAUUCCUUGGAUUCGUCGAUGGGGCGGCCGGUGCCGGACUCGUAGCCUUUGUAAAAGAAACGCGCUCCGAUAAGCUUGCGGUUGCAUGAAGUGGCGGGAAAGCCGGGGCCAGUCUCGCAGAUGCCUCGGAAGGAGCUGGGGGCAGGGAGGAGGGAGUCGUCGGAGAAAGAAGGGUGGUUGUGGGGCCAGACGCCGGUGUCGAGGAUGCCGACAAUAACGUCGGAGGCGUAGUCGGAGUUCGGCCAGAGGCCGGAGGUGUUGGAGAGGUGGAGGAAGGCGGGGGUGUGGGUGGUGUGUGGGUGGCGAGCGCGGUCGGGGAGGACGGCGAGGAUGGAGGGGGAGCGGCGGAGGGCGGCGGCUUGGGCGGCGGUGAGGCGGGCGGCAAAGCCGUGGGUGGCGCGGGAGUACGCGUAGAGGAUGCGGGGGACGGGGCGGCGGAGGUGGUGGGGGAGGGAGCGGAGGGUGUGGGUGUACCAGUGGAGGGGGGUGGCCAG